GAGUUUGAUCAUGGCUCAGAUUGAACGCUGGCGGCACGCUUAACACAUGCAAGUCGAGCGGUAGCAGGACAUGUAGCAAUACAUGUUGCUGACGAGCGGCGGACGGGUGAGUAACACGUAGGAACUUAUCCUAAAGAGGGGGACAACCAAGGGAAACUUUGGCUAAUACCGCGUAACCUCGAGAGAGAAAAGUUGCCCGCAAGGGUGGCGCUUUAGGAAGGGCCUGCGUCCGAUUAGCUAGUUGGAGAGGUAAGAGCUCCCCAAGGCGAUGAUCGGUAACUGGUCUGAGAGGACGACCAGUCACACUGGGACUGAGACACGGCCCAGACUCCUACGGGAGGCAGCAGUGGGGGAAUAUUGGACAAUGGGGGCAACCCUGAUCCAGCGAUGCCGCGUGGGUGAAG
rnacentral:rRNA from 1 species